rnacentral:hammerhead_ribozyme from 1 species
AUCCAACUGAUGUGUGCCAAAUAGGACGAAACGCGCGUCCUGGAU